rnacentral:sRNA from 2 species
UGUAUCUGAGGUUUGACGAGGAUGAGAACCUCCGGGGGCAAGAGGUUCGACCCGAGCGAAGCGAGAGAACGUUGCGCCAGCAACGGCCCGCAGGGCGAGCCACGCAGUGGCGAGUCAUCCUCUAUCACCGGCAG